AUCCAACUGACGAGUCCUAAAUAGGACGAAACGCGCGUCCUGAAU
rfam:Schistosoma curassoni strain Dakar, Senegal genome assembly, scaffold: SCTD_scaffold0000462